CGGGAACAAACCUAGCGGCGGACGGGUGAGUAACGCGUGGGUAACCUGCCUCAUACAGGGGGAUAACAGUUGGAAACGGCUGCUAAUACCGCAUAAGCGCACAGUACCGCAUGGUACCGUGUGAAAAACUCCGGUGGUAUGAGAUGGACCCGCGUCUGAUUAGGUAGUUGGUGGGGUAACGGCCUACCAAGCCGACGAUCAGUAGCCGACCUGAGAGGGUGACCGGCCACAUUGGGACUGAGACACGGCCCAAACUCCUACGGGAGGCACAUG
rnacentral:rRNA from 1 species